AGAAUCAACGCUGGCGGCGUGCCUAACACAUGCAAGUCGCACGAGAAAGGGGAGCAAUCCCUGAGUAAAGUGGCGCACGGGUGAGUAACACGUGAAUUAUCUACCUCCGAGUGGGGAAUAACCAAAAGAAAUUUUGGCUAAUACCGCAUAACACUUACGAGUCAAAGCAGCAAUGCGCUUGGAGAGGAGUUCGCGGCAGAUUAGCUAGUUGCGGGUAAUGGCCCACAAGGCGAUGAUCUGUA
rnacentral:rRNA from 1 species